GACGGAGGGUGCUAGCGUUGUUCGGAAUCACUGGGCGUAAAGGGCGCGUAGGCGGCCUCAGGUGUCGGAUGUGAAAGCCCGGGGCUCAACCCCGGAGGUGCAUCCGAAACUCUGGGGCUGGAGGUCGGAAGAGGAGGGUGGAAUACCCAGUGUAGAGGUGAAAUUCGUAGAUAUUGGGUGGAACACCGAUGGCGAAGGCAAUCCCCUGGACCUGUACUGACGCUCAUGCACGAAAGCGUGGGGAGCAAACAGG
rnacentral:rRNA from 1 species